rnacentral:rRNA from 1 species
CAAUAGCAUAUAUUAAAGUUGUUGCGGUUAAAAAGCUCGUAGUUGGAGUUCUGCCAGGUGCCGCCUGUCCGCCCCAGUGGUGAGUACGUGGCGCGCAUUUGGCCCUUUCAAGGGGAGCGUAUCUGCACUUUAUUGUGUGGUGCGGGAUCCUUGACUUUUACUUUGAGGAAAUAGGAGUGUUCCAAGCAGGCUCUCGUCGUGCACAGCUCAGCAUGGAAUAAUAGCAUUGGACCUCGAUUCUAAGCUGUUGGUUGCCAGAAGCGAGGUAAUGAUGAAGAGGGAUAGUUGGGGGCAUUCGUAUUUAACUGUCAGGGGUGAAAUUCUUGGAUUUGUUAAAGACGGACUACUGCGAAAGCAUCUGCCAUGGAUGUUUUCAUUGA